rnacentral:rRNA from 1 species
GAUGAACGCUGGCGGCGUGCCUAAUACAUGCAAGUCGAGCGAACAGACGAGGAGCUUGCUCCUCUGACGUUAGCGGCGGACGGGUGAGUAACACGUGGAUAACCUACCUAUCAGACUGGGAUAACUUCGGGAAACCGGAGCUAAUACCGGAUAAUAUAUUGAACCGCAUGGUUCAAUAGUGAAAGACGGUUUUGCUGUCUCUUAUAGAUGGAUCCGCGCCGCAUUAGCUAGUUGGUAAGGUAACGGCUUACCAAGGCAACGAUGCGUAGCCGACCUGAGAGGGUGAUCGGCCACACUGGAACUGAGACACGGUCCAGACUCCUACGGGAGGCAGCAGUAGGGUAUCUUCCGCAAUGGGCGAAAGCCUGACGGAGCAACGCCGCGUGAGUGAUGAAGGUCUUCGGAUCGUAAAACUCUGUUAUUAGGGAAGAACAAAUGUGUAAGUAACUAUGCACGUCUUGACGGUACCUAAUCAGAAAGCCACGGCUAACUACGUG